rnacentral:rRNA from 1 species
GAUAGCCUACGGGACGCAGCAGUGGGGAAUAUUGCACAAUGGGCGAAAGCCUGAUGCAGCAACGCCGCGUGAGCGAUGAAGGCCUUCGGGUCGUAAAGCUCUGUCCUCAAGGAAGAUAAUGACGGUACUUGAGGAGGAAGCCCCGGCUAACUACGUGCCAGCAGCCGCGGUAAUACGUAGGGGGCUAGCGUUAUCCGGAAUUACUGGGCGUAAAGGGUGCGUAGGUGGUUUCUUAAGUCAGAGGUGAAAGGCUACGGCUCAACCGUAGUACGCCUUUGUAACUGGGG